rnacentral:rRNA from 1 species
UACGGAGGAUCCAAGCGUUAUCCGGAUUUAUUGGGUUUAAAGGGUGCGUAGGUGCCUGUUAAGUCAGGGGUGAAAGACGGUAGCUUAACUAUCGCAGUGCCCUUGAUACUGAUGGGCUUGAAUGAACUAGAGGUAGGCGGAAUGUGACAAGUAGCGGUGAAAUGCAUAGAUAUGUCACAGAACACCAAUUGCGAAGGCAGCUUACUAUGGUUUUAUUGACACUGAGGCACGAAAGCGUGGGGAUCAAACAGG